rnacentral:rRNA from 1 species
AGUGAACGCUGGCGGUAGGCCUAACACAUGCAAGUCGAACGGCAGCACAGGAGAGCUUGCUCUCUGGGUGGCGAGUGGCGGACGGGUGAGGAAUACAUCGGAAUCUACUCUGUCGUGAGGGAUAACGUAGGGAAACUUACGCUAAUACCGCAUACGACCUACGGGUGAAAGCAGGGGACCUUCGGGCCUUGCGCGAUUGAAUGAGCCGAUGUCGGAUUAGCUAGUGGGCGGGGUAAAGGCCCACCAAGGCGACGAUCCGUAGCUGGUCUGAGAGGAUGAUCAGCCACACUGGAACUGAGACACGGUCCAGACUCCUACGGGAGGCAGCAGAGGGGAAUAUUGGACAAUGGGCGCAAGCCUGAUCCAGCCAUACCGCGUGGGUGAAGAAGGCCUUCGGGUUGUAAAGCCCUUUUGUUGGGAAAGAAAUCCAGCUGGCUAAUACCCGGUUGGGAUGACGGUACCCAAAGAAUAAGCACCGGCUAACUUCGUGCCAGCCGCCGCCGUAA